UGCAUAAGGAAAAUGACUUGCAAAAAUGUCUUUAUUAUAUUUCAGAGAUCUUACUGGUAGACUAACACUCUCAGUACAGGUUACCUUAGAAAAGCAGAGGCCUGUUGCCCCAGCUGCAGUCAGAACUUCAUGCAAAAUGCCAGCUAAGUGUGCUACAUCUAACUCUAAGGUUUAAGAGGGCCAACUCUGACAAAGCCUUGCUGUGACAGCGCAAGUCACUGACACCCAAAAGGCCUCUCCCACCUCGGUGCCAGGCCAGGGUGAGCAGACGCAGAGCUGCGUCCCAGCCACGCCACCUCACAGCUGGGCUGCGGCUUCACGGCAGCCGAAGGCCCUGCUGCCACCACACAAACCCGGGGCUUCCUCGCGGCCACAGUCCCCUACCCUUCCUCACCCAACUCAGCGCCCGUCACACCGCCCCACGAGCUGGCUAAAACCAGUGACCCUGCCCAAACACCUCUGGGCAGGAGGGAGACGGAGGGGCAGCAGGAAGGUAAAUUGUACUGGGGGAAUGCCAACCACCACGCGAUGCGGCCAACGGGAGCGCUGAGGGGUCGACAGUGUGCUGUCAGAAAGCUGGUGCAUCUUCCCUUCGAACCCAUUUUUAUGGUGUUUUAAUUAUGUAAUAAAAUACGAUUUGUACGUUCCAUUUACUGAAUUUAUCUUGUUUCAGGACCUGUAAGCUCUGACUGGGAUAAAAUAUGCAAUGCUCAGCCCACCAAAGGAUAAGUUUCAAGAGCCAUUUAUAAAAAUGUUUACUGUAUUUUCAUACUUCUAAACAACACCCGGGGGAAACAGGGACCAUACCCUAGCAUCUCCUUCCUCCAGCAGCUCUAUCAGUUGAGUAAACUUCUUAUAUUUGAAAAUCUUUUAUUUCUUUUAAACACUAUUCUUACUUUUUGUAUCCUCUCCCUUCAUUCCCUUCCCCCCUCCAACUUCCCCACCGCAGCAAUCCUUCAGAAAGCAACAUGGAAGCAGCUCCUCCUAUUAAUUAAAAGAAAAUUACUACAGUUAUGUAAGCUUACUUCUCUGCAACUGUGUCUCAUCCCCUGCUUCUAGAUCUGUAAAACAAUUAUCAGCCUUUAAUCAGAGCACAGGUAUCAGCUCACAAGCAGGUUUUCAUGCACGCAGCGUUCUCCAAAUGGUCAAAUAAAAUUUGUCUCCCAGUAGAUGCAAGCGAUGACACGAAACCUGGGAAUACACACGCUUUUUAACAAAACCCUAUUUGGCACCAACCUGUUUUACAAAAUUACAGGUUUUCCUAGAUUUCAGACGUUUUCUUGGUGCAUCACCCAGGAAUUAUGUGGUUACAUCAACAUUAGCCGGGUGCAGUUGCACAAGGAGCUGUCACUAUCCUAGAAUUAAUCGAUCUCAAGUAUAUUGUUUUGUAAUUAAGCUUGUGAAUACAUCGCCCCAUGAAUAUAACAGCAGCAGCAAUAAACACAUCCCAGAGAAGAGGGAGAAUUAGAGGCUCUCCGUCACUGUCGAGGACAGCUAAAUCACUUGGAGGCCAUCCUUCAUCAGCAACCUCUCCCUGUGGUUGCGGUAGCGCUCUACAAGCAGGGAGCGUUUUAUACAAGCAGAGCGUUCUUACGCCUUUAAAGUCACGUACCUAGUCCUUCAUUUAUACUUCAGCUACAGCCCCUGCACUAAUUAAGCGUUCCCACAAAGGAAAGACACAAAUUCAGGUUCCCAUUUAACAAAUAGUUGACUUUUGAAAGAAAAAGAGAAAACAGGGCACGUAUAACAAAAAACGUUAUUUGUUUAAAUAAUAUAAGCCAGAAAGGCCUUUCACUUACUGCUAUUGUUGAUUUCAUAAUCCAUUUUUAAAACCGAACUGCUAGAGAAAUAUAAUCUCUGCAAUGCCUUAUCAUCAACUACAGUAAUACUUUUUAUAACCGUUAUUGCAAACGGAUCAGUGAUCCCUGAAGAGGACAAUUAAACUGACACUCCAGAACCACGGUUUUACUCCUUAUCGCAGUACAUUUACAAUAAUCAUCUGAAAAGUUUAGAUUGUGUGGCCGGGAUGUCAGCAGGCUAACACCUUAUUAUCCUUUCUUCUGGUAUUAUGGCAUUACAGUUCUCGUACACAAUUAUACGUGUUCCUCUUGUGCCAAAAUAGCUUUCACGGGGUAUUUUUCGUAAGAAAAAGAAUCUGCAGAGCACAAAAUGCAAAGCAGUUAUUAUUGUCCAUUUUUUUAAAUGGAAAUUGCGUGAAUCAUACUUAAUUCAAGUAGGCUUGCCUUUCAGGUUUGUCAAGUUUAAACUCCACACAGAUGCAAAUUACUGCUAAAACUUCUCCCUGCAUCUUAAUGAGGUACAUUAUAAACUAUGAAGCCAACUCGAAAACAAGAGCAUUUUUGACGGCGGUUUUACUCGAGCUAGGUAUUCUAAGCGGUUAAAGGACUUGGAGGGCAGGAGGAAGCUGUACCAGCAGCACUUGGAUUCUGCCUGAUCCCGAGCCUGUGCCUGCUCCAAGCCUGGUUUCCCAGAAUAAUGCUUGUGCUGGCACAAAUUUCUGUGCGAGGAUUUGACUGCAUGAUAAGCGUGCCUAAGCAGCGUUGCGAAGACUCCCAACUGCUGAGCUCUGAACCCAACCUCUUUUCAAAACAUUGUCUCAUCCUUUCAAGUACGUUCAGGCCAGAAGGGAAAGUAAAUUGUCAAAACUGCGUGCAAGUGCUAAACUACCAGAUUUAAGAAGACAUUUUAGUUAGCAGCUACCACUGUCUCGCUUGUAUCUUGACUGGUUUAAUGAUGAUAGCCAACAAGGGAUCGCCAAGCGCGUAGAGCAUGGACUGCGCUCAUCGAUGGCGAGGUUUCCUUUCGGCAAUUCUGCCUACUGCUGCUUCAAACGGGGCCGACUGGGCUCGCCAAGAAAAAUGCUAAUCAUGGACAAAUGCAAUAAUUAAGGGUCAGAAAUCAGAUAGAGAAGCCGAAUUCCUGAAUUCCAGUACGCAGAUGCUUGUGCAGCCAAGAUAAAUGAACAGAGAAGUCUCACUCUAAGCAAAAUCACGGGGUGACCUAUAUUGGGAGUUAGAGCUCAGAAUUCAGCAGUGUAACAAGACAGUGCCUUCUUCCAAGCCAUUAAUGCAUGCUGGAAAACAGGGCCAUGCUAACACGUCCACAGAGCAGACUUAUUAGUCUACUAACGGCUAAUAGUCCUUCGUUGCUUUAGUUUCCCAGCUUACUAAAAAAAUGAACCUCACGCUAUGAAUCUGAUUAUCCAUCCUUGCAGUAACUUCGGAAGCCCUAAUUCAGUUCUGACCAAGUUUAAAGAGUGGAGAAGAAUUAAGCUGCUAUGAGUUUUACACAAACUGGAGGCUGGAGAGACAUUUCCAAAAUAAUGAUGUCAUUGGAAAAGACACCCAGAGCUUGGAAAUCACGAACUGCUUCACAGCUGGUCACUGUGCACGUGCCCUUUGGACAGAGCACAAGCACGUGCCUUCGCUGUGCCACAAGCCGCGCUCUGCCCAUGAGCGAUGAAGGAGCUCAUGGUAUCAUCCUGUAAACUUUCCUCACCAUACAAGAGGAAGCGUAAGUUCAUUAGUCCUGCUGUUUGCAGAACAACUUGAGGACAAAAAACCCCACCCUGUUCCUUGACAAUAGCAUAUGCAAAUAUAGUCAAAACAAAUGAAGAACGUUGAGAACGUCAAUUUUGAAGUGCUUUAAUUAUCUUACAGAGUUAUGGGAAACUUUGAAUAUUAUCAGCAUAGCAUUCAUGCAUACAGAAUACUCUAUCAGUGUUUCAUCGUAGAAGUCUUAAAUUUGUUAUCUACGUGCUGUUCAGUCAGGCAUAAGAAAUAUAAAAAACAACAGUUAGCUAUAAAGUCGGAUUAUAAGAGGGUCUCCAGAAUGCUAACAGCAGCAAUAAGCUAUGAAAUGUAACUUAACUGUUGAGUUGCACACGAUUUUAGGGACGCUGCCCUACGUAGAUCUUUAAACAAGAACCAUGGGUUGAAUAUCAGAUUUAUGACUAUAAACCUCUUGGAACAGGUAUGAAAUUGUUAUGUUUACUAGCCUGAAGAAAGCCUAAAUCCUGGUAAUUUGAAGACAAACACCAGAAAAGUAUUUCACUGCCUAAUUUAAAUUUUUUAUUUCCCCAGCGGUUCACAGGUUGUUGCAAUUGUGUGCCAAGUUACCUACCAUGUCAGCUACGAUGAUGCCUGUUUCUUUAAAUAGAUGGUAGUGCUGUGGAGACAGAGGAAGAACUACAGGACUGCUUCUGUGACGAGGAGGACAGUGGGAGAAGUGAAAUGUGAGCUGCAGGUUUGGAAGCCUGAGGUAUCUUUCACUUCUGUUUUGUAUUUUUUCCAUAUACACAGGAAACUCCCUUGGGGGGAGGAGAAAGACCAACUUCCCUACAGCUAAACACAAGAACAUAUGUAAAACAGUCAAGUCGCAAGUCUUCAAUGUUUCCAUACCUUAAUAAAAAAGAAUGAGGCAAAAAUUUCAGAAACUGAGAUAGCAAAGUCUAAUUUCCCACCUCCAAAAUGUCUUCAGACAACCCAUGUGGGAAGUAGUAGGAAAUUCAAGAGAAGCAGGACAGAAAAGAAGAGCAGAAAGCCUCCACAGACACACGUGCAUCACCGCCCACCUCGCCCUUGCACAGCUCAGCCCCUUCCCCAGCCCUGACCACUGUCCCUCUGUUUCCCUCGGUCCCCCUUUUGCUGCUGCAAAGCAGGAGAGGCAGUGAGGAGGAAGAAGGGCAGAGCUGACACUGACGUUGAGAGCCUUCUGCUCCCACUGCUGUGGGAUGUACGAGUUACACCGAUUCAGUACAGCCCAGGGUCCAGCAAGCCACGUGCUGGUCUCCAACAGAUGGAUUAAUUGACAGCUGAGGGAAAAUAAGAACCAGACAAGCCUGACUGGUACUUACCCCAAACGUUCUCCCUGUCUAUGACUAUUUUCAGUUCAGGGGAUUUCUGGACCCAAUGCUGAUGCCAGGAAUGAACGCAGCCUUUAUUAAUACUGUGGCCUCACAUGGUCCAAGCACGCUGUAGCCAGCAAAGGAUGUGUUUGGAGACCAAUGGGGCACAGAAGAGACCAAGGGAGCUUCUGCUAUAUUAUAUAUAUCUGCUAUAACACAGGGCUACGCGGGAUGUGCAGGAGAAUCCCAAGGCACCCGGGCAUUAUCAGCAUGACCAGCCCUGAAAGGUCACCCCACCCCAGAUCUAAAAUUCAGUUCUGACACGCCAGGAAAGCCAGUGUCACAUCGGAGUGACACUUGCAAAGCCUGCAAACCGCACGGCUCAGGAGCCACAGAUACUCCCUCCUGACCUGACCGCUGCGCUGGGAUGCCACGGCUCAGCCGGCCGGCCAGCGCCACGUGGUAACACGAACCCCUCAGCAACCAAAAGGGAAAGCACAAGGAAGCUCCACUGGCCACGUAACUGCUUUUCAGAAAGCUCAUUUAAUUACGUAAGAAAAGAGAGCUUCUGAGAGUGCCGGUAGUUGUGCUUUGGUCCCAUGCAAUACAGCCCCAAACUUCUAAGCUUUGGGAACACAGUAAGACACGUUGCCUGCGCACCACUCUUCACAAGGCACAAGGAACACAGAGCCUGUGAGCUCCAGUUACCCCGAUUGUUUUGGGGAUGAAAAACUAAUGCAGUCCAGCAUUUCAGGUAAACUAUGGCCACUGCUGGAAGUGUGCCGAACCCGUAUACCACCCUCCAGAUGGAGUGUGCAGAAGCUAGAGAUGAGUACAGGCUCCUUACAGGAAUGAGACCAUGCCAAGACCCGGGGCACUUUGAACUCAAAGUCCUCAAGAUGUUUCUAACAGCUACCGCUAACUGUAGGCGCUGUGUAGCACAGAUUCAAGAGGAAUGAGACGGAAAGGCAAAAAGCAAGUGGACAAUGCACUGAACGGCCUCAGGCAGAAGAAAGUUUAGUGGAUUCCAUUACAGAUAUUUGGCAAAGGAGAACCUGAUAAAUGACUCAACUCUUCGGAGAGCAACGUGAAGUUACUUUUGGCUUCCAAGACAGAAAUUAAGAAGGCAGCUGAAAAAAGGAAGAGGCCACAGUCACAAGGAGCAAUGGAGAUCUGGGACAAAGCUUAAGCGCUUGCUUCCUGUUUCUACAAUUAUGAUCCAGUGUUGCAAGACUGAAUUUUCAAAGGUUCCUUUUAUCGAAGGAGAAAGGUUGCACACAUUGAGGCUCACUGGUCAGAACCAUUAUUCCGUUCUGACGUCCGCAGGACAUCCCUGUUUGAAUUUUCUCGCCAAAUAACAGUGGAAUGGAGGAAUGCUUUAAGCCAAAGGGCUACGUGAGCUGCUUAACCAGAGAGUAAACAGGCAGCAAGUUCACUGCUGAAAAGUCAGGGACCAUUGCUGCACCCCACCUUCAGUGACAUCUCGAUGUUAGCCUCUAAAAUGAGAGGAUUUUGUGAUGCAGCAGCAGUAGGCAAGUUCAUGACAAGUGCAUCACAAAAUCUACAAGCUACUGAAGAUUGCUUCUCUGAUAAGAACAAAUGCUGAAGAGAAAUAUUUCAGUUGAACUGUUGGUUUUUAACCUGUAUCAGAACACUCUGCAUGAAUACAGUUUCUGUAAGGUUCUGAAAAGGUAUUAGGAAAAGCAAAACUAAUGUACUGAAACAGUGAACCAGGCAAAAAGAAAGAUGCAAUUUUAUUGAGAAAGUUACACGUGCUCUUUUAAGCCAUCCUAAAUUAGGAGAGAUGUUGUGUACAGUAAAUAUUAAUUCAAGAUUUAUAACAAAGCUGUAUAACAAACGACCUGAACUGAAGCUUAUCCGCAUGCAUGCACCCACAUUUUGGGCACUGCUUAGCUACAGAAUUUAGCUUUCAAAAUCUGAUCUCAGCGUCACUUUGUUUACUUUCAGCAUUUCAAAAGCAAUCCUUUCUCCCAGCUCUGUGGCUUUAGAAAUGCAUCAUAUUAGUAAGAACAAGGUGUCCCAUUCCUUCCCAACUUUCCAUGUAUUUCCUACAAAGCCACUAGCAACUGAUUGCAGCAACUCUCCAUUCAUUCAGUUAUAUUUUAUCCAUCCUUGGAGGAGCAGGAAAAUGAAGUAGUAAUAGCUUCCCAAACGCUUCGAACGUGGUGAGGAGGACUGCAAUAUGCCAAAAGACAGGAGCUAAGUGAAAAGAAAGAACUCUGAAAUAAAGUGAUCCUCCGCUAUUUCUACCCCCCGCCUUCACAUCAUUGAUUUUUUUGUUGCUUUUCCUUUACAACUUAAUUUUCCUCGUUGCUCCAUAUCCAUAUUUUGUCUCUUGCUACAAAAGAUAUUUCAGGUUCUUGAACCUGUCUUCUCCCCAAUCCUCCCAAGUUCUGUGAAUGAUGGCAAUGGACACUUCAGCUGGGAGAUGAGCAGCAUACAAGCACUCAUUAGGCGCCUUUUCUCAUGAUGGAGGACACCAAUCUGGGCAAGCUCCACGUUCCCAAAAGCAAGGAACAGGGUUUGGACUUGACUUAAAGCAGACAGUUGUUAGCAUAUUAUAUUGGUUGAGUAGUAACAGUGACUUUUCCACUGCAUAGAUAAUGGCGGUGAUGCUCUAAGCAAACCCUAAGUCUUAUAGGGCCCGUAAUAACAGACCUGAGGAGAAAUAAAGACCGUGAUGGAUCCAGAGUAGGGAACAGUGCAGUUGGGAAGUCCUCUGGAAGUUCUGCUCUGAACAAAGGCAACUGGACACAAACUGCCCAGGAACAGAGAGAACAGGGCUUACAAAGAAACUUCACAGAAAAAAAAUGGGGAGAUAAAAUAUUCUGGUGUGAUGAUCCAUAAAAAAGGGUAUGUAGGAGCAAAAUGAAUUGAGAUCUGGUCACAAAACUCAGGAGAGAACAAGACUGAAAGUAGCUAGGUAAAAAUAAUAAAAGAUAUCUCAAUAUCCCAUAUAUAAAACAAGAGGAAACAUUGACUGAGUCUGAAUUCAAAUUAGAGGAAGAGAAUGUCAAGCAGUGCCUAUAAACAUUCUUCAACUAAUUUCAAAACAAACAGGAGAAAGCAUUAGCUGGGACAGCAAUUUGGACACUGCUAGGGUAGUAACUUUCAUCUUAGGGAAAAGGCUGCCAUUACUAAAGGAAAACACCUGAAAUCAGGACAAUACACGGGAAAAUACUGAAGACAACAAAUGUUAUCACAGGUGUAACCAGUAAAAUCUGUAUUGAGAAGGUACAUGAAACAACAACGUCCACAACUUGAACCCUAUGCACCAGACUUCUAGUAAGUGAAGAAGUCUCGUAUCUCUCCAGAUGUAAUACUCAUCACUGCCUAAUAACUUCUGGAAAAUGUUGGUCUGGUUUUUGUUUUUGGCUGUUGUUUUUUUUUUUUUUUUGAGAACUGUUCUAACUGAAAAAGAUAAACUUCCAAAUUUGAACUGAUGCAAUCUGACCUUCAUGACUACGCAAACUGAUGAGUCAAACAAGUCUCCUGCUAACUUGAAGUGCCGUACAGCAGUAAGGUGAAACAGCAGAGAAAGACUUUUUUUUUUUGAUCGUUUGUACAGUACUGCGUGGUAUUAAAAAAAAUAAUUCAUCCAAAAAGUAUCCAUAUGAACACGGGAAAUCCUCAGGGUAUGUCCAGAGAGUUUUCUUGUACAUUUUAUUCCCAUAUGAAAAUUCAGCCUAGAUUCAAUGAACACUCACACUGGCUUCAAACUCUGCCUCGACAGGCACCUUCAGCACAUCUUCCGAGGUCAGCUUUCACCUCCUGCUGUCUCAAAAGCUCCAUGUCGAUGCUGCAGCCAGUCAGAAGGAAGAACAAUUUUCCUUCCAGCUCAAGGGAUCCAACAAAACGAGUUGUCUUCUACUUUCUAGUAGCCUGUAGCACUUGGACAUGGCUGUAAGCUCCUGAUCCAUCUUUCCUUUGCUAUCGCCUGAAGUAUGACUUACCCCUUCAGCAAGCUCGCUGUAAAACUUCCCAAUGAGACCUUUUUUUAAGCAUCAUUUCGUAACCAUUCCUUUGUUUUGUCUGUUAGCUAUUGUGAAACACAGGUAUUUUGCCCAUUGCAAAUAAAAAUACGGAAAGUUGUGACGUUUGUUUUAGCGCGGUUCUCAUGUUUGUUUUAACGCAGUUCUCAGUAUUUUGAGAGCGUUACUACCAAAACAUAAGCACUGCAAACACAGGUUUUAUUUACUGUGUUAUCAAAACUGAACACUAACUUGGCCAACACUGGUAUAAUUAAAACACAGGGAAAUAAGUCUUUAUGCUUUAAUUUUCCUACUUCUGAUGACCUUUAAAAUCAAAAUACACUUCAGAGCUGGAGAAUUCCCUCUUUUCUUUGUACAAUAUUCAUCUGUCACACUUACCCACAAACCAUCACAUUCACCUCCACACCCAGCAGCAAAACACUUAAUACUGGAACUAAGAGCCACCCUUGUACGUUCAGUGCUUAUCCAAAGACCUCUCAAAACCUAGCUUUUACAUCAUCAGUAGGAUUCAUUUAGCAUCACCUGUGCUGACUGACACAGCUUGUCACAGUGUGCCAUGUGCCACAAGCCUCUUCCAAAGAGGAAGCCUAAGCCCAAAUGCUUAUUAUGAUUGACUGCUCAGCACAGUUUAUUGACUAAAGAUUUGUAAUGCACAUGUAAACAAAACAAAACCAACACCAACCAGGCGAUCUUAAAAAAAAAAAAUAAAUUGGAAUGCAAAAAGGAAAAUAAGAACACCCCAGGACUCAGUGCUGGCAAAGAAGCACUGAACAGCAAAAGAAAAAAGGUUGGCCAGAAAAAUACUUGGACAGAAAAGACACAUCCAGAAUAGUUUUGCUAUAUCCCCCUCACUUCUGGAAGAUAUUACAUUAUUAAGGAUUUUACUAGUCAUCACUGUAUAUCUACUACAAAACUAAAAGAGCGUGAAAAGAAACACACACACGCAGCAUAAUACCAGGCUUUCAAUACAACUUUUUCUUUUCUGAAUUCUUACGCUCGCUACUGAAGCCAGCGCUGGCUGGCUGAACUGGAAAGCAGGAAAGGAUUUCGAAUUUUAAAAAUAAAUACCUAUACAGAAAAAUUUCUUCUGGAGCAUGAAGGCAUGGCUCCAGCCCACCACAGCACCACUCUGUCUUUCUUCGCCUUUAUCCGCUGGUCAUGCCCCAUCCCUUCCUUGUGGUGCAGUUACACCAGAGCAGCGCCUCUCUGUUCCAGUAUCCCCCACUCUUACCAAGACACAUUUAUGAUGGACACGGUCACACUUCAUCUUCUUUACCACAUCUGUUUGUCAGGCAGGUUGAAUGCCUAAGGAAAUGCGAUGCCUUCCAUGCACCUUUCACUCUGUGACCCAGCUGCGGCAGGGAGGAAGGCACGAUGCCACCUGCCGAAACGCAGCGAACCCAUCAGGGCAGGGCCCCCAGGCACACGGGGCGGCGAGAACGAGGCCGGGAGACACUAACUGAGCUUCCACCUCUCCACCGACCCUGCGUCUGACCUCGGCAAGUCACUGGCUUUCUGCACUUGCUUUCUGAUGUUCAGGACAUGAAGGGCUUUUACGCAGACGGCGGAAACAACAACGACAAGAUAACCGAGUAAGUUAAAUUAUUAUUUAUUCCGCUAUGCCAGGCCUUAGAUCCCUUCUGCAACGGCACGAGCCAAGAACGAGCACAAGCACCUCGGAUUGCCCAGACCUCCAGUGUGAAGGUCCCCUCGCGUCAAAACACCAGGGACAGCAGCAACCCACCAGCAGAGACUCCCCCCUGCUGUACCAAAACCUGAUAAAAGCUUCGUUUCACGAAUUGUGCUGCUGAGCAAACAAGUUUAACCUUAUUUUCUACACGGGCAGUUCCUAAUCUACAGCUUGCGAAAGCAACGCUGCCUGCGAGACCCUCUGCCACUGCUCCCAGCCAAAACUGAAUUACAGAGUUAAAAUAAGAGCUGCCAGGAAAAGGAAAGCAGGAUAUUGCCCAGAGAGUAUUUUUUACUCUGCGCUGUUACUAUGGCCCGGCAAAAAUUAGGGACCAGUAUUUUACACAAUUCAGUUCCCUCUGUCAGGCUUAGAGAAUCCUGAAUUUCAUGGCUGCCUGAUCAAGUUUCCUUCUGAUACCAGGCUUCCUGGUAACCUCCCAAAGCACCACACACUGGAAAUAUGCCACAAGUUAUAAAAAAAACUCAGGUGAAAUAAAUGUUCUACAGACUGAGCAAUCUUAUCAAGAACAGCAGCAGAAAGACCGUUGUCUGGCACAUACUGAAAGAUGCCCACGUUCUUCUUUGCUCCUAAUGGAAAAUAAAAUAAAAUUAAAUAUUUGUGUUGCUACUCAAGUAACUAUAAAUAACGACGUUAACGUCGACUAGGACCCGUUGCAAUACGUACUCUUGACUCUCGCCACCAGACGUAGAACAAUUAAAUGAAGUAACAGGUGUAAUCUCACAUGGAGCAGUCAGAAAGGACCACCUGCCAACACAGCUCGUUGCCUUUUACCACACGUGCUCUGGAUUUUGGACGUGCUGCCUAAAUGCCUCUUCAUACAAGCCAGUCGUCCAGUUGCAACGAAAAGGAGGUUAGCUAUACUUCCAUCCACCCAUCUUAAUGCCUUCACGUCUUCCAAGUAAAGCAACGGCAAUAACUUUAAACCACUCAUUACAGAAAUACAUAAAUUCAGCAAGAAAGUUUUCAAGACCUACUCACAUACAAAGACACGUUCAAAAAAGAGCUCGACAAACUUACUGUAGGUACAUGCUGCAGACCGAAAUUUUCAGAUCGCUUUAGAAAGAAUAAAUCAUGUUGCAGCAUCAUGUCAUUCACUGAACCACCUGAGUAACUGGAAUAGUAAGGCACCGGUAUAACUAGUGGUAAAAUGAUAUAGAUAAAUCAAAAUUUUCAAAAAUUAGAAAAAAAUGAGACGGGAAACGAAAACUGUUAUCCUUGCAAAGCUACAGCCUCCGCGUGUUGUAAAGAUGUAGAAAUUCAGUCUUAAUCAAGGGAUUUCUCACACUGAAACCCCUAUCUUCUCUCUCUUCUUGGUAACAGAGCUUACCGCCACAAACACGUAGUUUACGCAUUUACAAGCAUGAAGAUGUGUAUCGCUAUCUGGUUAACCACCGCAGCAGAAGAGUACCGAGUAUUUUUUCAGAAAACGAGAUUAUUUUAAAUUGCUUACUAUAUCCUGGCUCUGCAAAGUGGCCUGUGAUGUCACACACAAACAGGCGAUGAAAGAGUUUCUUCAGGUUGGGAAGGGUACUUCACAUUUUAAAAAAAAAAAGAAAAGGUAGCAACCACAAAACACACAUACACACACACACACACUCGCACGCGCGCGAAUUAUGAGUAAAAAAGCACCACAACACAAGCAGAACCCCAGGAAAUGAGAUAAUGUCAAACUCCGAGCUUCGCGUUUACUUUUCCACUCCUCGGUAAGGAUAUAAUGAUAUGGAAAUUGCUACUUUCUAUUAAUAAUUUUCUCUUGAAAUUUAUCAGCUGUUUCCUCUUCUGAGCUUGUACGCUGGAAAGGAAUGACCAUAACGCCGUAUUACUUCCUUGCCUCGUACGAUCUUACUUAGUUCUUUCUGCAAUUAUGUUCAAGACAAAUAUGACAGCUGUACAAUAUUAGAUCACAAGCAUUUUACAUAAAAAUGAAACCUCAGUAAGUUCAGAAAUACGAUUUUGCAUCUGUAAUUGUAAAUUUGCCUUGAAAUAACAGACUUAAAAGGCAUACGCAGUUGUGCAAACAGAAUUAAUUUCAUCCAACAAUGCAGCUAGUGAUGUUUAUCUUUUUCCCCUCUUUAUCUAAGCAUACAGGAAAAAAUAAGCAACCCUUUAAAUGCAGGCAGAUGCUACAGUUGCUUUUUUUUUUUUUCUUUUAAUAGCUCAAUAAUGUAAACUAAAAAUAAAACAAAAAGCACUUAGAAGUACGCCUUCCCUGGGAAAUGCUCUUGGGAGGCAGCGAUUCAGCACAUCCCAGUGCCACACAGGUCAGCUAAUAACGUGCUUGCAAUUAACAGCCAAAGCAUUCAGGGUGAUCAGCACUGCCAACAGAGAAAGGAUGGCCCCAAACUUUAAAAUUCUGCUGACAUGAUUUGCUCUCCACAUGUGAAGCUAAUAUGUGGGAUCAACUACGUUCUCCAUUCCCAACAGACGUUGACAUGCAUUGCCUAAGAUACGAUACUCGUGUUAAGCACGUACUUUACACAUCUAAAACUACAAUUUCUCUGCUCAAUUUUACCAAAAACCACAGAAUAGCUAUGUAGUGCACCCACCUUAACUAUACUCUUUAUAAUGUAACUGUACUCUUUUAAGUAACUCGAAGAAUGAGUUCCUAAAAGCUUUUUUCCAAGCCCGUGCACAUGAAGGUGCAGCAGGUCUUUCAGAAAGCCUUCACAAGCCACUGCUGCUGCAGGCUACUUUAGCUUCUUUGUGCGCUCUUUUUAAAUGUAGAAAUCGUUUGAGUUCCUAAUAAUGAUAAAAAAAACUCGAAUGAAUUACUACUGCAAAGUAGAAUGUAGCAAGUCAGAGGAAAGAAAGAGUAUUCUCUCCCACUCACAUAUCAUUUGUGUAAUUCAUAGUAGAGAAUCAGAGCUCUCUCUGCACAGAGAUACUGGUAAAGGAUUCUGCCUUUUAAGUAGCAGUUUAAAAAGCCAACGCAUUUUAUGCCUAUUAAAACAGACUACAGCCUAUUUCUAGAGAAAUCAAGCUAUAAAAAGAAAGAUGAUUUUCAAAGCUUCCUUGUGCCAUACAUCAACUACAAUAAGUCCGAAAUGACUAAGAGCUACUUAAAACAACGAAUAAACAAUGGGAGCAAAACCCUAAUCGAGAGCUUAACGUCAUAAAAUCGCUCCUGCCGAGCCUACAAGCGGUGAGAAGAGCAUUUGUAGGCAUCUCAGAAGACUCUCUCAGGAACACAGCGCUCACAGAGAUUUCCCAAUAGCCAGAACGAAGAUGCUGACAUGCCCCUUGAUAAUGAUUUAAAUGUUAGUCACACAAAACCAUCUACUCAUUUGAUUGUAAAUGAGUUUCUCCCAACAACCUUUAGCACUCAUGAUGUGCGCGCACACAACACAAUAGCCAUGGUUAUGCUAUUACUCAAAUCUUAAUAAGCACUAUGUUUAAACCUCCAGCAACAGUAAAAACUGUAGCCCGAAGAUCCCAUUCCUUGGAUCCUACUCCUGCAGUCCACAUAAUCCAUUCUCCAGCCCCUGAGCUCCACGGACACCGUUCUCAGGAAGACCUCUUGCAGCCACCGCCGCGACGCGGCUCCGGAUCCAGGUGCAGCUCUUAUCUCGCCAGCCCUGCCGAUCACCCGGACUAUCAGCAGCGCUUCUUCGCCGGAAAUAUUCUCCCUGACUCCCUCGGCCCCGUUCCUCUCGUGACUCAGCCCUUAUCGUUCUCAUUUUCCUUUCAGCACAUCCUUCUGGAGGAGCAUCCCCAUUCACCUUUACUGUUUUAUGAACUACUUAGCAGCCUGUCUCACACCCCUUUCCUUCCAUUCCCCUCCACCUCACCUAGCACCACAUGAAGCUGCUGCCUGCUUGCCAGCAAAUCAGAAACACGCUUUCUACGCCGUAUCUGCAGUGUUUGACCGAGCUAGCACCUUGGCUGGCGCCACCGGUCUCUCCGUCCAGAUGCCUCGCUAUCAGCUCAGCCCCAGCCCAGACAAAACACGGGCCUUACGCGCUCUGUCACUGCUCCAGCCUCCUUUCCACCGCGGCAAGUCGCUGCCUUUCGGGACUCUUACAGCAUCAGCCCUCAAACCGUGGCUCUCUAUACGUCCUCAGACCUACAGGUUUUGAGACCCCAUGUCGCUAAGAUCUGCCUUUAGUAGGUUAAAUUUUAUCCUGUGACCACAACAGCUCACACCCCAACUACCGAAGCACCCUUCCAAAACGCAGAGCUGACCCUGCUCUAUUUACUCUGAGCAUCCCUCUCCAGCUAGCUUUUUCGGACCGACGUCAGGUCACGCAAGUCCUCCUCCCCUCCCAUCUCUCCAGCAGCACCCGCUCCACCCUCUACUUCCAGACCCUUGCUGGUGAACCCCCUCCUCACACCGCUGACCAGGACGCAGAAGGGGCAGCUUUCAGCGAGCACCCUGUCACGUUUCCACCUGGUGCCAAGCAUCCUCCUGUGCCACCACAGAUCUGCGGCGUCUUCCCUCACCCUGAAGUCGUUCGGCGUUCAGGGAACACCUCUUCGCCACCCAACUUCGGGGUGACUAAUUCAGGCACCUAACAGCCUGGUAUUUAGAAAUGUGUUACUAAAACACUUGUCUACAGAGCCUCUGGAAAACCCUGUACCCGGGAGAAGCCUGUGCAGUUGUUAUUGUCUUUUUUUCAGGGUUUAUCUGAAAGCUGCUCGAAAAAUAACCCAAAUACCGCCUUGUUUACUGCUAUUACAAAGGUUUUCACUGGUAAUUGAGUACUCAAACUUAUGGCUAGCAUUUACCAUUUUUAUCUACCCUCUACAAUUUUUUUUUUACUUGCUUGCUGGUACAGAAAUCUUUGCAAAGGUUUUUGGCAACAGCUUCUUGCUUUUUUUCUAAUAUUUUACAGACGGGGUUGUCCCAGACUAGAGAGCGAGCCACAGAAGAGACCACUCCACUUUUUAAGUCAUUUUAAAAUGGCUUAAAAAUAAGUUCUUAAGAGCAGAGAUUCUGUCACAUUGUUGCAAUAGGCCUAACACAGCAAUUUUCAAGCUAAUCAAGGCCUAAAGGUAUUUUUGUAGUAUCAGUAAAUAUUUAAACAAAGCACUUCACACCCAAAAUGUGCAACUCUAGUUAACUAACAUUUUCAUUAAUUUUGCCGUCUUAAAACAUCGAGUUUCCCUAAACUGCUCACAAGCCAAAAACGCUCCACAGAAUCCCCAAACACUAUCCUAUCAUUGCAGCCCUAAACUAUCCACUUUGUUUAAAAUCGCCUUACAAACGGUUCAUUUUCAGUAACUGGCCCCAGGUUUCUGCGUACCUUAUUAGACGCAGUUCUGAUACCGUGGGCUUUCAGCCAUCCUGUACACGCCAGCAGUUUUGAUCGAACCGCUCCUCGUGAUGCGAGAAGCGUGCAACGUGCUGCAGGUAAUAAACUGCUAUCGUACCCUGACUCCCCCCAGAAUUACUCUAGUAAAUUCAUACUAUUCCACCCAGCACUGCACAAACCAUACUUUAGGCUUAGGCGUGCAGCUUUCGCAGGAAAAGCUGUGUUUUCACAUGCAGCCUACGCUGGCUACGGAAAACCAUAUGCUUUAUCUCAACGUUCGAGCACCCAUAAGAAAGGCACGCUGCUCAGUCAAAUACCAGGCAGUAUUUGGGCACUACAGACUUCAGUUACAGCUUUUUAAUUUCAAGCACUUUUUUUUUUUCCUGCUUAAUACCCAGCUUUUGCAGAACAGCCAAGAAAGAAAAACCAUUUUUACUGACUACUUGGAAAAAAGUCAGUUACUGGAGUAUCGUCAAAUUGUGUCGGGUGUGCUAAUGUACACAAACAGCUCAGCAUCACAGCUGUAACCCAAAAACAGCUCAUACAAUGCAAUCCUCGAUGCAAUCUAGCUACAACGUUGACCGACCUUAACAUACUUCUUUUUUUAUCAAUGUUAAAAGUAAUAAACAACAAAAAAAUGAGACAACAUUUUCAGAGAAUUACUCAAUUUACAGGUUUUGAACAGUAACUUCAGGGUUAAAAUCCACAACAGUUUUUUGCAUUCUUGUUAAAAUGCUUUUUUAAUUUGAUCGCCCAUUAAAAAAAAAAAGUACAGCGUCUGUUAUUCUCAAUAUUUUAACGUAUUUCCACGAAGGCUAACUGUAACGUCAUAAGCACGAGAACAUUUCUGACAAGCCUGUAAUAAUCAAUAAACAAAAGGAAAUGGAGCCCAAAUAUUCAGAUGAGUAAACUAACAGAAACGUGGAAAAGCUUAAUUGCUAACUAGGACACAGACUACUACUUGCAGCAAACUUUAAAAGCAUUUCUUUCCUUCUUUCAACUCUAACCUCUAAAAUAGCACACCCCAGGAACCAUAACAAAUAAGACCAGCUUCACCAAAGAACAUUUAAUUGGGAAAAUGUGUACGAGCCGCAAGAUGCCUUUAUCAAGAGAGAAAUCAAGCAAGAGCUUCGAUAUAGUUUUCGACAGACAAAAGCAAGGAAUUGGAAACACUGCUGCAGCCAAACAAAACAACAAAAUACCAUAAUGCUACCUUCUCCACGAGAACAAAAGCAUCAACCACCAACUCCACCCCACCCCCAAGCAGGCUGUUGCGCUCUCUAACCACAUAGCCCAUGCUGGAGACAAUGUAAUCCCACGGGGAAGACAGAAGGUCACAGGCACGCUGUGAAAUCACAAAAUAAGGUCCACUGUUUAGAAAGGCUCGGCGGUGCUUUCACCGCUCACAAUGUCAUUUGGAACAAACAGGUGGAGCGCAGACAUGGCCUGCUCUUCUCCUGCUGUCCCUUCCCUCGGCAUAUAGGAGGUUACACGUGUCCAGCGCGGUCCAAAAUUACAGGCACGGCCUUUACAAUAAGCAGGAGAACUCAAGAUGUGGCAAGGGUGGCAAUACUCAGUGUAACACUGCAGGAGGAGGUGAUGGCAAGGACUGCAGAAAAAUAAACAUGUAGAGGCUGGCUUUGUCUAUAUCAAUGAGUAAUUCAUCAUAACAGAUCACCAUACUGAUGUAGCUAAUGCUGAGAAUCAGCAUGUUUGUUACAAGCACUUUGCGGAUUUGAACUUCAGGCUACCUUUGACUCAAUCCCUCGGACUGGCUGUUCUCACCAUACAAGCAGUUUAAAGCUGUCCAAAGGCCCACUGGCUGGUUUGGACUCUUACAUCCCCACUGGAGUUUGGAGUACGUUUCCCAUGCACUGGGCAGAGCUGCGGGGUUGGCUUCCUCUGAAGGGAACCUGAGCUGCUCUGUGAACUGAACCAAUGAGCAAUAAAUGGGUGUGAUGAGGGAUUUCUUUCAAAACUGCACUACUGCUCUGAACCAAAAUGCCGUGGUAUAUAUAACUAUAUAUAUGUUUGUGGUUUGGGGAAGAUGCUGCGUAUUUUUCUGCUGUAUAUAAACUCAAUAAUUUUGCAUGAUAAUGCUGGUAUACCUUCUUGUAUACAUUUCUAGCCAGCAACCUCUAGUAAGUUCUCUAUGUUUAAUGGUGCAAGACAAAAGCUAACUACACUGAAUCACUGUGCAAGCAGAUAAAUUCUUACAUACAUACUUUACAUGCAACUCAGAAGAGCAGAUUUUAUUUUAUCAAGUGAUAAUAAUUGUGGUCCCCACAUAAGCAAUAUGAAAAACUGUUUUCCAAGCUGUGAUGAAAUAACUGCAAUGUAAAUUGAGGAAGUGUUACUCCAAACCUCCAAAAAAGAGAAAGUGAUGUGUUUGCCAAACCUGGAAAAGAGACUUACUGUCUGUGAUCAAAGGCAGCACUGCUCUACACAGAACUUCAUGAGAACACAGAAAGGGGGAAGGAAAAAAAGGUCUGGAAUCAUGAAAGUUUCAUUUAGAGCAAUGUACUUGAAAAUUCAUUCACUCAAAUACUGGAUAUUAAAAUUAAUGAGUAAGUCCCUUUUGUCUUCUCAACUGGAAAAAAAAAAAAAAAAGACAAUAGUACUGAUCACUUCCCGUAGCUAACCAGCUUUCCCUGUUACUGUGGUUCAGGCAGUCUGCGUGAAAAAGGACACAGAUCUAGUAACUUAAAAUGAUGGUACUCGGGAUAGUUAAGUACCUGGUAUUUAAAACUCACCCACAUUAAAAAUUUGAUUUUUCUGCCAA